GAGUUUGAUCCUGGCUCAGGACGAACGCUGGCGGCGUGCCUAAUACAUGCAAGUCGAGCGGACAGAUGGGAGCUUGCUCCCUGAUGUUAGCGGCGGACGGGUGAGUAACACGUGGGUAACCUGCCUGUAAGACUGGGAUAACUCCGGGAAACCGGGGCUAAUACCGGAUGGUUGUUUGAACCGCAUGGUUCAAACAUAAAAGGUGGCUUCGGCUACCACUUACAGAUGGACCCGCGGCGCAUUAGCUAGUUGGUGAGGUAACGGCUCACCAAGGCGACGAUGCGUAGCCGACCUGAGAGGGUGAUCGGCCACACUGGGACUGAGACACGGCCCAGACUCCUACGGGAGGCAGCAGUAGGGAAUCUUCCGCAAUGGACGAAAGUCUGACGGAGCAACGCCGCGUGAGUGAUGAAGGUUUUCGGAUCGUAAAGCUCUGUUGUUAGGGAAGAACAAGUACCGUUCGAAUAGGGCGGUACCUUGACGGUACCUAACCAGAAAGCCACGGCUAACUACGUGCCAGCAGCCGCGGUAAUACGUAGGUGGCAAGCGUUGUCCGGAAUUAUUGGGCGUAAAGGGCUCGCAGGCGGUUUCUUAAGUCUGAUGUGAAAGCCCCCGGCUCAACCGGGGAGGGUCAUUGGAAACUGGGGAACUUGAGUGCAGAAGAGGAGAGUGGAAUUCCACGUGUAGCGGUGAAAUGCGUAGAGAUGUGGAGGAACACCAGUGGCGAAGGCGACUCUCUGGUCUGUAACUGACGCUGAGGAGCGAAAGCGUGGGGAGCGAACAGGAUUAGAUACCCUGGUAGUCCACGCCGUAAACGAUGAGUGCUAAGUGUUAGGGG
rnacentral:rRNA from 1 species